rnacentral:pre_miRNA from 8 species
CAGUGCUGGGGUGUCAGGAGGCAGCGCUCUCAGUCUCCACCAUGGCCUGGGCUCUGCUCCUCCUCACUCUCCUCACUCAUGGCACGGGUGA